rnacentral:rRNA from 1 species
AUGGUUCUCGUCCGCUACGGCGUCUCCCACCUCAUCGAACAUCCGCUGCCACCAAAUGCUUCCGCUACCUACCUCGAGCUCGAUGCUCAUGUCAUUCUCUGGAUCUACGCCACCCUUUCGGACACCAUGUGUGAUCACGUCGUCGGCGCCACGACCACCUUCGCCCUCUGGAACAAGAUCCGCGACUACUUCCUUGCCAAUCGCGCCGCUCGCUUCAUGAUCCUCAACCGCAAGUACCGCAACCUCAAGCAGGGCGACCUGUCCGUCUCCGAGUACACUCGCCGGAUGAAGCUCCUCACCGACACCCUCGCCGACAUCGACCGCGCCGUCACCGAGGUGGAUCUCACCACCCAAUUCCUCCAUGGCCUCGACAAGCGGCUCGACACGAUCAGGGUCGUCCUUGGUGACCAGGACCUGCCCUUCGACACCGUCCUCUCUCGGGUCGUCCUGGCCGAGGAAUCCCAGGAGCAUCGCGCGGCCGAAGAGAGCGCCUCCGCGUUCGCGCUGACGGGUGGCAGUGCCUCUGGUGCCGGCUCCAGCACGGGCGGCCAUGCCCCGAUGGAUCGUACGGAUCGCUCCUCCACUGGUGCUCCGGCCGCUCCUCCCCAGCCGCUCCCGCACCCUGGCCGUGGACGCGGUGACCGCGACGGUGGUGACCAUGGUGGCCGUGGCCGCGAUCGUGGCAGCGGUCGUGGGCGCGGCGACAACACUGAACGCGGCCACGCCGCUCCUCCCCUGGCGUCGCCCUUCACUGGCUACUUCGCGCCUUACGGGAUGGCGAUCCCCUACCCGCGCUCCGGCUGGAUCCCGUCGAAUGCGGCCGGCUUCCUUGUCCCGCGCCCGGGCUCUCAUGUGCAGGCUUAUCCGCUCCUCCCCACCCCGCCGGCGCCCGCCGCUCCGUUCCACCAGCACCCUCCCUCGUCAUAG